UAGAGUUUGAUCCUGGCUCAGGAUGAACGCUGGCGGCGUGCCUAACACAUGCAAGUCGAACGGGGCCGCGUAAGGCCCGGGGAAGGUUUACCGGACCCGGGGCGGACGCGGCCUAGUGGCGGACGGGUGAGUAACGCGUGGGCAAUCUGCCCCGUACCGGGGGAUAACACCUGGAAACAGGUGCUAACACCGCAUGACAGGCGGGGGCGCAUGCCCCGGCCUUGAAAACUCCGGUGGUACGGGAUGAGCCCGCGUCCGAUUAGCCAGUUGGCGGGGUAACGGCCCACCAAAGCGACGAUCGGUAGCCGGCCUGAGAGGGUGGACGGCCACAUUGGGACUGAGACACGGCCCAAACUCCUACGGGAGGCAGCAGUGGGGAAUAUUGCACAAUGGGGGAAACCCUGAUGCAGCGACGCCGCGUGAGUGAAGAAGCGCCUCGGCGCGUAAAGCUCUGUCAGCAGGAACGAUAAUGACGGUACCUGAAGAAGAAGCCCCGGCUAACUACGUGCCAGCAGCCGCGGUAAUACGUAGGGGGCAAGCGUUAUCCGGAUUUACUGGGUGUAAAGGGAGCGUAGACGGCGGGGCAAGUCUGGAGUGAAAGGCCGGGGCCCAACCCCGGGACCGCUCUGGAAACUGCCCGGCUGGAGUGCGGGAGAGGUAAGCGGAAUUCCUAGUGUAGCGGUGAAAUGCGUAGAUAUUAGGAGGAACACCAGCGGCGAAGGCGGCUUACUGGACCGUGACUGACGUUGAGGCUCGAAAGCGUGGGGAGCAAACAGGAUUAGAUACCCUG
rnacentral:rRNA from 1 species